rnacentral:rRNA from 1 species
AGUGAACGCUGGCGGUAGGCCUAACACAUGCAAGUCGAACGGCAGCACAGUAAGAGCUUGCUCUUACGGGUGGCGAGUGGCGGACGGGUGAGGAAUACAUCGGAAUCUACUUUUUCGUGGGGGAUAACGUAGGGAAACUUACGCUAAUACCGCAUACGACCUACGGGUGAAAGCAGGGGAUCUUCGGACCUUGCGCGAUUGAAUGAGCCGAUGUCGGAUUAGCUAGUUGGCGGGGUAAAGGCCCACCAAGGCGACGAUCCGUAGCUGGUCUGAGAGGAUGAUCAGUCACACUGGAACUGAGACACGGUCCAGACUCCUACGGGAGGCAGCAGUGGGGAAUAUUGGACAAUGGGCGCAAGCCUGAUCCAGCCAUACCGCGUGGGUGAAGAAGGCCUUCGGGUUGUAAAGCCCUUUUGUUGGAAAAGAAAAGCAGCAGGUUAAUACCCCGCUGUUCUGACGGUACCCAAAGAAUAAGCACCGGCUAACUUCGUG